GAGAAUGAACAAACACGGUGAUAGGAGACCUGAAGAUUGGGUAAUUUCGUUUUUGCUAAAGUCAAAAGGCUUCCAUGCUUGGCCUGCUAAGGUUUUUGUGACAGAACAACCUUGAACAACAACACAGUCAAUGCCACAAUUGAUUGGAUAGGAAACUGUAAUAUCAACAAUGAAACGCUUCUAUAUGUGCCUUGUGGUGUGUAUUUGACUCAGAGCUUCAAUCAUUGAUAUUGAGUUUGGUGAUCUCGUUCUUGCUAAAGUCAAAGGCGUGCUAAUGUAUC